UUGCUCCUGAGGAGUCUGUCCCCACUCAUGGGCAUCGACACUUCGCUCCAGUAGACAGUGACUGACUGUAGACCCAUUCACAACAAACUCACAGAAGUGCACCAGUUACCAGUGGUUUCCAACCUGGGGUCAGGUCCCCCCCACAAGGAGAAGAUAAAUCUGGAUUCCACAGGGCACGGCCUGCCUGAUGUUGUUGACUUGUUGUUAAUUUGUCUGUUUUGUGCUUCUACUACCGGGCACACAGUGUUUUGCCUGCCUGAUUUUGCUGACUUGCUCAGAUUUUGUUGAUUUGGUCAUUUGUCAUUGAUUGAUGUGCUCCUGCCAUGUUAGGUAGCCUACUUAGUUAAAUGGUUUCUUUUUUUGUCUGUUUUAAACUACGCUGAUAUACCAUCACGAGUCUGCGCAGGGUGUUUUAUUUUGAAAAUUUAUCAGAUUCUUUAUGCCGUUUUUGUCUCCGAGUUCAAUCUUCUCUGUGCUGAUUGACACGGCUUCUGUCAAAAAAAUGAUUUGCAGUGUAUUCUGCACGGAGCAGAGCAAAGAGCUGCCUCUGGGGCACAUGAAGGUUAAUGGGACAGGAAUUUCAGCAACAUAACGUUGUUUAUUCUUUUCAGACUGUUAAUGUGUUUAUUAUAUUUUAGUCUUACAAUGGAGAUAAUCUAAAAAUUAAAUACAAAAUAAAAGCCAACAAUAGAACAACUGUUCUAAAGAAUGUUUUGGAAUGACUGUACAACACAGCAUUGGUCAUGAUGAAACACAACAUAAUCUCAAACUAAUUAAUUCUGAAUAAGUUAGCUGCUGCUUUCUUGUCAGCUAUUAUUCAAAUGAUUAUUUUCUAUUAUUUUUCACAUUGCUGAGGGGUGUAAACAAUGAGAAUAAAGCUAGCAGUGAUUUUGUUUGCCUGCAUUGUCAAGGAUGGUAUUCUACACUGUGGUACGAAAUGCUCCUGAUGAGUUUUCUCUUAAGUACCUUGUAAAUCAGAAGCCAGAUUUCCAUCUUGUUCCAUCUUUUUUUUGUUUAAAUUUCAACCAAUUUACAUAUUAUUUCAUCCCUAUUAAUAUACUGUAUGUAUACAUGAUGAAUAUGUAGAUGUAGCACCAUUUUUGAAUGUGUAGAGCUCUGCGGUUAGUUUAGCAAUAAUAAAUAUGGUUAGACUUUCAAAAGAAAAGUGGUUGCAAUUUGGUUAGUAUUAGGCUACAAAACUAUGUGGUUCAGUUUAGACACAAAAACUAGCGCUAUAACUGUCAAUGUCUGCAUGUUAGCAUUUAGUUUAAGCAGAGCCCCACAAAGCCACUAGCAUGGCUGUAGUAGUAUCUAUAAUAGUCUUAUAAUAACUAUAAUUCUUUGAGGUUUGAAAAAUACAGGCCCUGAUUUGUGCAAUAUGUUUUCAUUGUAGCACCAAGUUUUGUUAAUCUGCCAUAUUCCAUGAAUAAAAAGUUAUUUUGUU